AUUAUGCAUAUAAGAUGUAAACGUUUCACCGAUGUAAUACUAAAAACUAAAGAAUUAUCUAUAAUAAUAAAAAUAAAAAAGUAAAAACUAUUGACUAAAAAAUUUAAGAAAUAGUAAUAGAGCUUGAAAGAAAAGAAGUUUGAAAAAUACGAGAGAAAAAGUGGUAAAAGAAAAUUUUUUGAUGUUUUAUUUUUCAUGUAAGGGUUCUUUUUGUUCUUUUCCUACUCCAUUUUAUCCUAAAACUCAACUUUUUAAAAAACAAUCCCAAAAACCUGUAAUCUUCUUAAAAUUGGUCUUUUUUGUAAUUCAUUUUCAAGUCCGGACUCAAAGACUUUUGAGAUGGUUUUUGAAAAUGAAGAGUUUUAGGACAAUAAGAUGGUGAAAUAUCCAAAUUAUCCUCAAUAAAAAGAAUGCUAAAAUAGGUCAUUUUCCUCCCACUUCCUCCAUCUUCACGUUUUCCAUUCUCAAAUCUCUUACGCGUAGGUGACUUUGUCGAACAACGAUGGUAGGUUUUAGACGGUGAUGACAAGGCUUUAGACGGCAACGGCGAGCUUCAGACGAUGACGAUGAGGCUUCAGAUGACGACGAUGACAGCGAGGAUUUAGAGAAAGUUAUUGGUCAUAAAAUCUCAAGUUCACGCUACAAAAAAUAUCAAGUUGAUCAUUAAAAAAAAUAUGCUCAAAUAAUGUACUCAGCUUCUCACCUCUCAGUCUUCAUCGAAGGUUCGUCAGCGAGUAGUAACUCAACAUGAUCCUAAGGAAAUGGGGUGAUUGGUGGCUACAAAAGAGUCGUUGUGGGUCAUCACAAAGAUCACAAUACCAAUAUACCAAUAGACAACCUGUUGGAUUUGAUAUACACUAUUGGGGAUGUUUUG